GAAAAACAAAUGGCAUCGCAGUAUAAAUAAGCGGUCGUCGCCGAAGAUGCGGUUAUCAGACGUCUGUGGGCACUGAUCGUAGGAAGCCUCUAGGAGCCCUUGACUUUCAGACCAGAGACAUGGACGGCCCUUGCAAGUGUGGAGACCCCAACUGCCGAUGCACAUCGUCCUGCCAGUGCGGCUCGGGACGAUGCGGCUGCGGACGAUGCAAGUAGGGCACACGCCUCAUGCGGGGAAUGCGGGGAAAAAGAUGCAACUAGGAGAUGAGUCAUCGUGAAAAACAAACACAAGACACCUAAGCGACCAUGAUGGUUCCAGUGGCUGGUUAUGCAGUCAACAACCGCAAUCACGGCGCAAGGAGUGACGAAUAAAAAAAAAUUGAUG